rnacentral:tRNA from 1 species
GCCCCCAUAGCUCAAUGGAUAGAGCAAUUCCGUCCUAAGGAAAAGAUAUACGUUCGAAUCGUAUUGGGGGUACCA